GAAUUUUGGACAAUGGGGGAAACCCUGAUCCAGCCAUGCCGCGUGGGUGAAGAAGGCCUUCGGGUUGUAAAGCCCUUUUGUUGGGAAAGAAAUCCAGCCGGCUAAUACCUGGUUGGGAUGACGGUACCCAAAGAAUAAGCACCGGCUAACUUCGUGCCAGCAGCCGCGGUAAUACGAAGGGUGCAAGCGUUACUCGGAAUUACUGGGCGUAAAGCGUGCGUAGGUGGUUGUUUAAGUCUGUUGUGAAAGCCCUGGGCUCAACCUGGGAACUGCAGCGGAAACUGGACAACUAGAGUGUGGUAGAGGGUAGCGGAAUUCCCGGUGUAGCAGUGAAAUGCGUAGAGAUCGGGAGGAACAUCCAUGGCGAAGGCAGCUACCUGGACCAACACUGACACUGAGGCACGAAAGCGUGGGGAGCAAACAGG
rnacentral:rRNA from 1 species